rnacentral:rRNA from 1 species
GAUGAACGCUGGCGGCGUGCCUAAUACAUGCAAGUCGAGCGAACAGACGAGGAGCUUGCUCCUCUGACGUUAGCGGCGGACGGGUGAGUAACACGUGGAUAACCUACCUAUAAGACUGGGAUAACUUCGGGAAACCGGAGCUAAUACCGGAUAAUAUAUUGAACCGCAUGGUUCAAUAGUGAAAGACGGUUUUGCUGUCACUUAUAGAUGGAUCCGCGCCGCAUUAGCUAGUUGGUAAGGUAACGGCUUACCAAGGCGACGAUGCGUAGCCGACCUGAGAGGGUGAUCGGCCACCCGGGAACAGAGACACGGUCGAGACACCUACGGGAGGAAGCAGUAGGGAAUCUUCCGCGAUGGGCGAGAGCCGAACGGAGCAACGCCGCGGGAGGGAUGAAGGUGUACGGAUCGUAAAACUCUGUUAUUAGGGAAGAAGAAAUGUGUAAGUAACUAUGCACGUCUUGACGGUACCUAAUCAGAAAGCCACGGCUAACUACGUG